rnacentral:rRNA from 1 species
AUUGAACGCUGGCGGCAGGCCUAACACAUGCAAGUCGAACGAGUGGCGGACGGGUGAGUAAUGUCUGGGAAACUGCCUGAUGGAGGGGGAUAACUACUGGAAACGGUAGCUAAUACCGCAUACCAUCGGAUGUGCCCAGAUGGGAUUAGCUUGUAGGUGAGGUAACGGCUCACCUAGGCGACGAUCCCUAGCUGGUCUGAGAGGAUGACGAGCCAACCGGUAACUGAGCCAAGGUCCAGACUCCUACGGGAGGCAGCAGUGGGGAAUAUUGCACAAGGGGCGCAAGCCUGAUGCAGCCAUGCCGAGUGUAUGAAGAAGGCCUUCGGGUUGUAAAGUACUUUCAGCGGGGAGGCGUUACCCGCAGAAGAAGCACCUGCUAACUCCGUGCCAGCAGCCUCGGUAAUUC